UACAGAGGUCCCGAGCGUUGUUCGGAUUCAUUGGGCGUAAAGGGUGCGUAGGCGGCGGGGCAAGUCUGAUGUGAAAUCCUGGGGCUCAACCCUGGACUGCAUUGGAUACUGCCUUGCUAGAGUACUGGAGAGGAACUGGAAUUUACGGUGUAGCAGUGAAAUGCGUAGAGAUCGUAAGGAAGACCAGUGGCGAAGGCGAGUUUCUGGACAGUUAC
rnacentral:rRNA from 1 species